AAGAAAAAUAACAAAAAUAAAGUGGUCCUGAAUUGCCCAACUUGCACAAGCCACCGAGGCAGCAUCAGUGUCAUCAACCUCUGAUCCCACAGAGUUUGUCAAAACAGUUAAGGCUGCCAUAGUAUUCACAAAUUUGAUCUGAAGAAGAACUGAGAAGAAAGAACAUAAACUGAAUGAACGCCUCACACUUAACAGAGGAAAAGCUGGAAUUGUCUGAUAAGACAACGAAAAUCCAAUUUAAACGGAAGUUAGAGGGAAUGAAGAAGAAAUUAAAAAGAAAAAGUAAGAAGAAGAGGUCCUGAAUUGCCAAACAUGCUCGAGCCACCAAGGCAGUAUCUGUGUCAUCAACCUCUGGUCUUUCAGAGUUUGUUAAAACAGAAAUUCCUCAACCAAGACUAGCAAGUACACUGGCAACACCAAUUUUUAACAGUGAAGGCUGCCUAGUUUCCAGCAAAUUUGAUUUUGGAGAACUAUCUAAUUCCUCACCCAUUCUGAAAAA